rnacentral:rRNA from 1 species
GAAGCAGCAGUGGGGAAUAUUGCACCAUGGCGCAAGCUGAUGCAGCAACGCCGCGUGAGGGAUGACGCUCGGGUGUAAACCUCUUUAGUAGGGAAGAAGCGAAAGUGACGGUACUGCAGAAAAAGCACCGGCUAACUACGUGCCAGCAGCCGCGGUAAUACGUAGGGUGCAAGCGUUAUCCGGAAUUAUUGGGCGUAAAGAGCUCGUAGGCGGUUUGUCGCGUCUGCUGUGAAAACUAGAGGCUCAACUUCUAGCUUGCAGUGGGUACGGGCAGACUAGAGUGCGGUAGGGGAGAUUGGAAUUCCUGGUGUAGCGGUGGAAUGCGCAGAUAUCAGGAGGAACACCGAUGGCGAAGGCAGAUCUCUGGGCCGUAACUGACGCUGAGGAGCGAAAGAGUGGGGAGCAAACAGGCUUAGAUACCCUGGUAGUCCACUCCGUAAACGUUGGGAACUAGUUGUGGGGGCCUUUCUACGGUCUCCGUGACGCAGCUAACGCAUUAAGUUCCCCGCCUGGGGAGUACGGCCGCAAGGCUAAAACUCAAAGGAAUUGACGGGGACCCGCACAAGCGGCGGAGCAUGCGGAUUAAUUCGAUGCAACGCGAAGAACCUUACCAAGGCUUGACAUAUACCGGAAACGGCUGGAAACAGUCGCCCCCUUGUGGUCGGUAUACAGGUGGUGCAUGGUUGUCGUCAGCUCGUGUCGUGAGAUGUUGGGUUAAGUCCCGCAACGAGCGCAACCCUCGUUCUAUGUUGCCAGCACGUUAUGGUGGGAACUCAUGGAAUACUGCCGGGGUCAACUCGGAGGAAGGUGGGGAUGACGUCAAAUCAUCAUGCCCCUUAUGUCUUGGGCUUCACGCAUGCUACAAUGGCCGGUACAAUGGGCUGCGAUACCGUGAGGUGGAGCGAAUCCCAAAAAGCCGGUCCCAGUUCGGAUUGUAGUCUGCAACUCGACUACAUGAAGUCGGAGUCGCUAGUAAUCGCAGAUCAGCAACGCUGCGGUGAAUACGUUCCCGGGUCUUGUACACACCGCCCGUCAAGUCAUGAAAGUCGGUAACACCUGAAGCCGGUGGCCUAACCCCUUGUGGGAGGGGAGCCUU